UACGAAGGGGGCUAGCGUUGCUCGGAAUCACUGGGCGUAAAGGGUGCGUAGGCGGGUCUUUAAGUCAGGGGUGAAAUCCUGGAGCUCAACUCCAGAACUGCCUUUGAUACUGAGGAUCUUGAGUACGGGAGAGGUGAGUGGAACUGCGAGUGUAGAGGUGAAAUUCGUAGAUAUUCGCAAGAACACCAGUGGCGAAGGCGGCUCACUGGCCCGUUACUGACGCUGAGGCACAAAAGCGUGGGGAGCAAACAGG
rnacentral:rRNA from 1 species